rnacentral:rRNA from 1 species
UUCCGCAUGGNCGGAAACCCUGNCGGNANCGACGCCGCGUGGGCGAUGAAGGCCGGAAGGUUGUAAAGCCCUUUUCUUGGCGAAGAAUAAGGCUGGGGAUGGACUACCCAGUCGAUGACGUUAGCCGAGGAAUAAGCCCCGGCCAAUUACGUGCCAGCAGCCGCGGUAACACGUAUGGGGCGAGCGUUGUUCGGAGUUAUUGGGCGUAAAGGGCGUGUAGGCGGCUCUCGCAAGCUUGGUGUUAAAGGUUUCGGCCUAACCGGAACAGUGCGCUGAGAACUGCGGAGCUUGAGUCUAGGAGGGGGAGUUGGAAUUCCAGGUGUAGGGGUGAAAUCUGUAGAUAUCUGGAAGAACACCGGUGGCGAAGGCGAACUCCUGGCCAUAGACUGACGCUGAGGCGCGAAAGCGUGGGGAGCAAACAGGAUUAGAUACCCUGGUAGUCCACGCUGUAAACGAUGUGCACUAGGCGUUGGGGGCUUUCAGCCCUCGGUGCCGUAGCUAACGCGUUAAGUGCACCGCCUGGGGAGUAUGCCCGCAAGGGUGAAACUCAAAGAAAUUGACGGA